CCUACGGGAGGCAGCAGUGAGGAAUAUUGGUCAAUGGUCGGGAGACUGAACCAGCCAAGCCGCGUGAGGGAGGAAGGUACAGAGUAUCGUAAACCUCUUUUGUCAGGGAACAAAGGCGGGGACGUGUCCCCGGAUGAGUGUACCUGAAGAAAAAGCAUCGGCAAACUCCGUGCCAGCAGCCGCGGUAAUACGGAGGAUGCGAGCGUUAUCCGGAUUUAUUGGGUUUAAAGGGUGCGCAGGCGGUCUGUUAAGUCAGCGGUCAAAGCCCGGGGCUCAACCCCGGCCCGCCGUUGAAACUGGCAGUCUUGAGUUGGAGAGAAGUAUGCGGAAUGCGCGGUGUAGCGGUGAAAUGCAUAGAUAUCGCGCAGAACUCCGAUUGCGAAGGCAGCAUGCCGGCUCCACACUGACGCUGAGGCACGAAAGCGUGGGUAUCGAACAGGAUUAGAUACCCUUGUAGUC
rnacentral:rRNA from 1 species